UACGUAGGGUGCAAGCGUUGUCCGGAAUUAUUGGGCGUAAAGAGCUCGUAGGCGGCUUGUCACGUCGGAUGUGAAAACCGGGGCUCAACCCCGGGCCUGCAUUCGAUACGGGCCGAGGCUAGAGUUGGCAGGGGAGGACUGGAAUUCCUGGUGUAGCGGUGAAAUGGACGCAGAUAUCAGGAGGAACACCGGUGGCGAAGGCGGGUCUCUGGGCCGAUACUGACGCUGAGGAGCGAAAGCGUGGGGAGCGAACAGG
rnacentral:rRNA from 1 species